rnacentral:rRNA from 1 species
UACGUAGGGGGCAAGCGUUGUCCGGAAUCAUUGGGCGUAAAGAGCGUGUAGGCGGCUCGGUAAGUCCGCUGUGAAAGUCCAGGGCUCAACCCUGGAAUGCCGGUGGAAACUGUCGAGCUAGAGUCCGGAAGAGGCGAGUGGAAUUCCUGGUGUAGCGGUGAAAUGCGCAGAUAUCAGGAGGAACAACAAUGGCGAAGGCAGCUCGGUGGGACGGUACUGACGCUGAGACGCGAAAGCGUGGGGAGCAAACAGG